UGGGGAAUUUUGCGCAAUGGGCGAAAGCCUGACGCAGCAACGCCGCGUGAGUGAUGAAGGCUUUCGGGUCGUAAAGCUCUGUCGAGGGGAAAGAAGUGUAUUGUGGUUAAUACCCAUGAUACUUGACGGUACCCCUAAAG
rnacentral:rRNA from 1 species